AAGGUUAUUUUGGUUAUUCUGGGAGCCUUACAUUUCAUAUGAAAUUUCAACUCCUUUCUAAAAUUUCAAAAAGAAAAACUCUUCUAGUGUUGGUGGGCUGUUAUAUCUAUAAAUGGGUUUUGAUUUUUGCCUUCUGGAGAUAUAAAAGCAAAGAAAUAAAAACUUGUAUAGUUUUGUGCCUUCAAUAUAGUAGGAAUGUCCCUCAAACAAGUUCAUUCCAUUGAAUAGUCUUUAAAUUUCCUCUUGCACUGUUUAUCCUCUUCUUUCUCUAAUGAGACACUGUUUAAAAUUGUUCAGCUUGAGCAGCUUUGCCUGCUGAGAAUGAUCUCAGACACUUGGCCACAUUUUCCUUCAAUCCAAGCUUCCAGAGGUUGUCACUGGUUAGUCAGAGAAGCAGGGCAACAAGAAUUAGCCUGAUAUCAAUUCACAAUCCGAAGGAAAAGAAUAUUCAAGAAAUAUUCUCUGAAACCACUCUCUUUUUAAAAUUCUUGAUCUAGGCACCAAAAAAAAAAAAAAAAGCAAAAACAAAACAAAACAAAACAACAACCUCUGAUGCAAUGACCUCAAGAAUCCAUGCAAAAAUCCCCUCUGAAAUGAGCACAUUGAGAGGCAAGAAAAAUGGUGUUGAAAGCAGCAGAGAACUGCAGAGAAAGGAGAGGAAAGGAUAAAGAGCAAGAUAAGGGCAGAAACCAAUAGGAACUGAGAAGGGAAGAGAAUGAAGAGGGGAAGGGAAAGGGGAGCUUAGAAAGGGAAAGGGAAACAUAUGGCAGGUAUCAAUUAUUUACCAUUUAUGUACAAUAAAAAAAAUGCACUUUAACUACAGGAAGAGUACCAAAUCCACUCAAUAACCAUUUAAAAGCAUAUGGAAAUAAAACACAGCCAUUUGAAGGGCUGUAAUAAAUGUGCAAUGCUCUUUGUAAUGCCCCUGAAAGAAUACAAGUGUUAAGCCUUGGUAAAUUACACUUAAAAGUAAGUAUAACAUAAAAACGGAAUUAGGCAUACAAAUAACCUCACACUUAGGCAUUUUUUAAAAGUCUCUUUCAAACAGUUAAUUAGAAAAGCCUCUAAGGAGCAUAACUUUUCUUCUCUCAUAUUUUCAUCUCUUAACAAUAGAGCCAAGCAAAUGGCAGGAGCAAAUAAACAUAGAUUCAGGAGGCAAAGAAGGUCUGCCUGAUGUCUGCCCUGGAAAAAGAAAAAUGGGGGAAGACAAUAAAGAGAAGGCACUGUUGGAAUUGUUCUUCACUCCCUAGAGAACUGAAUGGGGCCCUGUAAACAUAGGUCACAGAAAUAUGCAGAUGGCAUCAUAGACCCUGUUUCACAACUGCACAUUUUAAUAGCUUUAAUGUUCUUGUCGAAAUGCAAUAAGCCAAUCAAAAAGUACUAUUUAACCUCAUGUGCCCAUUCUUCACUAACAUCUGCUAUAUACUAUAGCAAUGUUUCCAGUAAACAGGGCCCCACAUGUUCCAGCCUUAAAAGGGAGAGGAUCAAGGGUUUGGCUCCAAGGGGGCGGUAGCCAUUAGAUACCAGAUUAAAGCAGGGACGGGGUAGGGUGAGGCUGCUGGCAGAAUUUGCUGUGUUCCAGCCUACAAAUUCCACAUAAGUUCUAAUCACAAACAAGAGUUCUUUCAGCAAGUAAUGGGUAGCAUGCAUCUUUUUAACCCUAUUCAGUCAGCCCCCAAGCUUUUUUGUAUUUCUAGCACAGCACAAGACACCUACAUAAUCUCCCAAAUGUUGCAGCUUGGGUGCCCUAGGAAGCAGACUCUGAGACUGAGAUUGGUGUGCAGGGCAUUUUUCAGGGAGUGCUCUUGGGAUCCGACACCUAUGGAAGGAUAAGGAAGAGAAUGAAGCAAAAUUGGGCAGAGGAAGAAGUGGUGCUGCAAUGCAGUUUCUUUCUUUCUUUUUUUUCUUUUUAGGGCCGCACAUGUGGCCUGUAGCAGUUCCCAAACUAGGCGUCGAAUCGGAGCUGCAGCUCCAGGCCUACACAGCAACCCCAGAUCCGAGCUGCACCUGCAACCUAUGCUGCAGCUUGCAGUAAUGCUGGAUCCUUAAGCCAACGAACAAGGCCUGGGAUUGAACCCACCUCCUCAUGGAUACUACUCAGGUUCUUGACCUGGUGAGCCACAACGGGAUCUCCUGCAAUGCAGUUUCAGUGGACAUUUCAGCCGAACCUCUGGGAAGUUCUGAAGAUGGAUUGACCUCUCAACGCUGUCCCAUUUCAGUGAGAGGACCAGGGCUCCCUACCCCUUCAUCAGUCAGCCAUUGUGCAAAGCUACUGUCCUAGGCAGACAACCCAGAGGGACCAGCCACCUGCAGCACCCCAGCAGCUGGGGGCAUCAGGCCCUCAGGUCUGAGAGGGGUCUGAACAGCACAUCCUCGUGUCCACCACAGUGAGCAGAUAGUAAAGGCCUUUUUGGGUUCAUCUAUUCAUUUAGAAAACUUUCAUCGCACCAUUUCUACGGGCAUGGCACUGAUCUCUGAUGACCGGUUUCUGUUCCCAGCAUGUCUUCUGGUACAGAACACAGACGGCUUUAUACUCAUUGCAUCUCCUGAAUUCUCUGUGAGGCAAUAUUCUACCAAGGACUCACCUGCCCAUUCUACACAGAGGAAAGCAAUGAUGGAGAAAAGUAAGCUAGGCUGUUUUACGGGUAAGCCCUCCAGUAUUUAAAAGAAAAAAGGAACCCUGAGAAAAUAAUAGCAUAUCUUGCCUACAAAUAAAGUCAGUCCAUUGACGUGGGGUUACAGAUGGACAGGAAAAGGAGAGAUAGAGCUAAUGAGAAAUUUCCUGGGCUCUUGAGUCUUUCCUCCUCCCUCUCUUCUUUCUAUCUUUGCAGAUGCCAGAGGGCAAGAUUUGGUCCAUAAAUUGUACUCUGACCCCAUUUUCUAAAUUUCAUUAAAAACAUUUUUUUUUCUCUUUUAUCUGAAAAUUCCUCUUUCAACUCUUAUAAAGACACUCCUGGGUCAGUCUUAUUACCCAAUAAGUAACCUGCUACUGUUCACACUGACUGUAAUCAAGCCGGUGCUGCUGUCCUAACAAUACACCCAAGUGUGCCACAGACCGCCGGCGCUCACCCUCUUGUGUCAUUUCACUUAAUUAAUAAAUGGAACAAAGAUUGCAGAAAAGGAAGAAAUUUGAUUACGCAGCAUUGUAAUGGCACUCUAGUCUCCUGUAAAGACG
rnacentral:lncRNA from 1 species